rnacentral:lncRNA from 1 species
UUCAAAUCGUCUCGUUUCCGUUGGUCGAUCUUGGUUUACCACGCCGGUGGCGCUCUGCGCCUCUGGUCUCUCCUCUCUUAUCUGACCAGUUGUUGGUUUAUGGUUACCGCUCCAGCCUCCUUCCUUCCAUCUUCGUCUUUCCCCGCCCCUCCGCCCCUUCCUCUAUUCCCAAAGCCUGGCCCUCCCUAUUCGACUCAAACUCUGAACUUUUCCUAUCCUACGUUGAACCGAUUCUCGUAGACGGAGUUCUCCAGAUUCCCAGAUGUGUCAUGGAUAAAGGCCUUGAGAUGCUGAAGAGGUGUCUUGUUUCUCAAUUCUUGGAUCCAAUCCCUCCGAUUCGGGUCUUUCAAUUGAUGUCUUCACGUCUCUGGGGACGUGAUGGCUAUGUUCGCAUCACAAAAACUUCCAAUCAUCUUUUUGUCAUCCAGUUUCCCUGCGCUGAGGUUAGUUCCUGGUUCUCGCUUGUGGUCCUUGACAUAUUCACAACACCUUACUCUAUUUGUGUCCUUGGACUUACAAGGCUACCCCAAAUGAAGUUGAGGAUGUUGUCGAUCCAGUGUGGAUUAAGCUUUUGAAGAUCCCUGCCCCACUCUUCUCUAAAGAUGGUUUAAGCUUAGUGGCUAGUAUGAUUGGAGUCCCUGUCUAGAUGGAUAUGCAGACUUAUUUCAUUGAUGAUUUUGGAUUUGCUAAGACUAGUGUCAUGAUCCCCUUUGGGAAGGAGCGUCCUCCCUCUAUCCCCAUCGCUUUGGAUGGUGGUGAUACUCUGAACAUUGAGAUUGUGUACCUUACUGAUCGUUCUUACUCUGGUCGUCAGAAGCAGACCCAAGAUGAGGUUUUGGUGCAAGUUUAGAAGCCUAAGGCUCCUCUUGAGCUAGUAGUUGCACAAGGCAAUGAGUCCAAAUUCUCUCUGGAGAAGGAGGAUUCACCUAGCUGACUCUUCCCCAAGCCUCUACUGAUUUGGUGAUUGAUACUCCUCCACCAUCAUCUUCCCUUAUUGGUGCGCCUGAGACCCAGCUGCUUGAGGAAGAUGCUAUCGUACUCUAUUACUAUUAUUACUAAUGGUCCACAGAAUAAAAACAAAGGUAUCCAUAUUCAUGGCCCCCAUUUUGGUUUUCUUUCUCUUGAAGAUGCUGGGAAUUCUGAAUUUCCAUCACUCCAUACUUCUCUUCCCAACGUCAAAAAGCAAACUAAGAAUUUCCAUAAGAGUCUCAGUUUUCACUCUUCCCCCCCCAAUUAAAUGAGGCUCAUGUGCUGGAAUGUGAGGGGUUUCAAUCUCUCUUAUAAGCAUAAAAAGGUUUUGGAUUUUGUUGCUUUCAAUAAGAUUGAUGUUUUUGCUCUUUUAGAAACUAGAGUUCAAUUGAAUAAUGCUACUCAAAUUUUAGCUACUACUUUUUUUGAUUGGUUUUCUGCUGCCAAUUACUCUCACUCUCCUCUUGGCAAAAUUUGGAUCCUCUGGAAGUUGACAAUCCCUCUCCAAAUUCUUAACUCCUCUGAACAACACAUUUUGGUUACUAUUGCUCGCUCUCUUCCGUGUACCUACUUAUUUUCUUAUGGAGCUAACAAUGACCGUGCUAAGCAUGACUUAUAUUCCAGCUUUGGCUUCCCACCGCCGAAACCUUUUGUGACAAUGGGUGCUCUCAACGCCGCGACUUCUACCCAGGAGACUAGUAACCACAUCACUAUGACUCCAUAUAUGCUUUCUUUUUAGACUUGGAUUGACUUUUUACAGCUUGUUGAGCACAAGUACUCUGGUCACCUUUUCACUUGGACUAACAAUCAGAAUCCUCUUAUCACUCGCAAGUUUGAUAGGGUGAUGGUUAACAUGGAUUGGAUUGAUAUCUUCCUUUCCUCCUAGGUCACAAUUCACCCCCUUUAUUUUUAGAUCACUGCAGUUUGGUUAUUGACUCUGAUGUUACUAUCUUCUCUCUCCCGAAGCCAUUUCACUUCUUUAAGAUGUUGACCGAUCAUGCUGAUUAUAAUUUUAUUGUUUUUGAUGCCUGGACCUUAAUCGAUCAUGUGCUUGUCCCUCAUCUUCAUAAUUUGUACUAGAAACUAAAUAAGAUUAAAAAUACUCUCAAACGUCUCAAUCAGAGUGCUUUCACUGACAUCAGAGGUCAAGUUGUUCUAACAGAGAUAUGUCUAAAAUAUGCACAGAUGGAUGCAUUAACUGAUCCAUCUGCUGCUUUGGCUGACACUGUCUUCAUUUGUACUAAUGAGUGGCAUAGAUAUAGAUUGGCUGGAGAAUCUUUUUUAAGACAAAAGUCUAGUGGUGUCCUGGUUAACUAUGGGGAUUCCAAUACUUUCUAUUUUCUCAAAUAUGUUAGAGCUCAUCAGGUUAUGUCACAUCACCUUACUCAAGUCUGCGGAUGGUAGAGAGUUAUCCAUUAUCCCUGAGAUUAUCGAUGAAUUUGUUGGUUUUUGCAAAAAUUUGCUUGGGAAGGUUGACUCAUAUCUAUAGAGGCAGACAUGUUUUUAUUAUGUUGAUCUUCUUAUUCACAAACUCUCUGAUGCCAAAGUUUCCACUUUAUGUUACACUGUCACAGAUGCCUAGGACCUGAUGAUUUCCCAGCCUAUUUCCUUCAGAAGUCUUUGGAUAUUGUGUGUGUGUGUGUGGGGGGGGGGGGGGGGGUGGGGGUGUCUGAGAAACGUCGCGUC